CGUGUAGGCGGGAAGGUAAGUCAGAUGUGAAAUUCCAGGGCUCAACCCUGGCGCUGCAUCUGAAACUAUUUUUCUUGAGUGCUGGAGAGGAAAGCGGAAUUCCUAGUGUAGCGGUGAAAUGCGUAGAUAUUAGGAGGAACACCAGUGGCGAAGGCGGCUUUCUGGACAGUAACUGACGCUGAGGCGCGAAAGCGUGGGGAGCAAACAGGAUUAGAUACCCUGGUAGUCCACGCUGUAAACGAUGGAUACUAGGUGUAGGAGGUAUCGACCCCUUCUGUGCCGGAGUUAACACAAUAAGUAUCCCACCUGGGGAGUACGGCCGCAAGGUUGAA
rnacentral:rRNA from 1 species